rnacentral:lncRNA from 1 species
GCUGGCUUUUGGCAGGAGGCCUUAGUUCUUCGUCAUGUGGCAUCUCCAUAGGGCUGCUUGAGUCUCCGUAAGGCUCCACAUGGCCACUGACUUCCCCAGCGCAAGUGAUCUGAGAGAGAGCAGGGCCAAGCUGCACUGUCUUUAAUGACCCCGUCUUGGAAGCCACACUCCAUCAUUCCCACACUUUUCUUGGUGACACAGCUCAGCCCUAUUCCAUGUGGAGGGGACAACACAAGGGCGUGACUACCAGGAGAAUCAGCGAAGUCUCUCCUAAGUGAUCAAUGAAGACAAAUGCUCCAGAAAUACCUAGAGGAAAAGCGGCUGAAAAAAUUAAGAGAGAAACCUCAGCGACGACCAUUUAUAGUGGGUAUUUAUAGACCUGAUAAGCCUAUUAUGCUUUCAUCAAUACCAGCACACCAACCAAAAAAGAUAAUAAAACAGAAAGAAAAGUACCCAAUCAGGGAAGCCCUGCCAAAAAGAUCGAAGAAGAACCAGGCAAGGUCAUUUCUUUUAAAGUUGAUAGUGAAGAAAAUACUUUGGAAUCACAAACCAGUGUGACAAACGGAAGGGAUCCAGAUGGGGUCUUAAAGUUACCUAAGGCAGAUCCUGC